UUUAUUAUUCUCGUUUUACAGAUGAUGAAACUGAGGAUGAGAAAAGACAAGGACACAGGACCACAGAGACAGUGGGAGAAGUAGGAGCAGAUCACGGCUUCCUUAUAAUUGCGCGAUUAUCUCCGCACCAGAGCAUGUUAUAUCUGGCCAAAUUGACUUUUCACAAGAUGACAAAAGUCACUUAAGCCAGGAGGUAUGUGCUGCUUGACCCACCACUCUAGCCAUUGCAUGGAAAGCCUCUUCAUGAUAUAAGAAAAUGAAAUCAAACCUUAAGGUGAAGCAGGACAAGAAGCAGGAAGAUCUACCGGACAGAUGGAGAAGAGUGAUGUAAAAGAGGAUGCAUGGAAAGAGGCCAUUUUGGAGUCAGAUGGAUCUGAUUUUGAAUUCCAACUUUAUUACCUACCAACUCAGUGAACUCUAAGCAAGUUUCCUCAUUUGUAAAUGGGGGUAAAUUACCCUUCUCAGCAUGACUGUGCAUCUUAAAUGGAAAAAACAGCAUGAAAGUAUCUAUCCCAGU